CUAGGCCUGCUGGCCACAUGGCCCCAGCCAAAGUCUUUAACUCAGAAGCUGGUAAAAACAUUUUCCUUAGAUUUCAUGUUUUUACAGCUUUGCCAUCAUCUGAAUAAAAUCCUUUGGCUUCUUUGCCAGUGGGUCAGCCUCUUCUGGAGCUCUGGAGAUCUUCAAAAAGUGCUGUGGAGAAUAGGUUGGCAGCAAGGGAAGAGAAGGAAAACCGGAUUUAUUGUUCAAUUAAUACCUUGAACCUA